CUGGGUGUGUGGAGAGCGGCAGCUCCUCCUUGUCUCACACGUGACCAGAAUGGAGGACUCCGUGUUCCCAAGGAAAGAGUUCGUGAACCCGUCUGCUGUUUGUCUUCUGAGGUUCCUUAGCAAGGAAUCAGAGAGGCAGAGCCACGGAUGGGAGGAAACUGGAUCCCUGAGUCAAAGCUUAGAAGAAAUCUACCUGGGAGAGUCACCCAAUCAGCAUCAGAACAUGAAAUGGACUAAAAAUAAAACAGCUAUACUAUUUCCAGUAAGAGGGUAAAACUGGUCCCUGCUACUCCAUCUUGGCUGGAAGGUGAACCAUCAGGAGUCACUUUCAAAAUCUCUGUCUUUGAGUGAGGAAGCUUCUCUCUCCCAGAAAUCCUCAGGAAAUGUCUUCUUCAAGUUCACUGACCAUUAAUGGUUCUGGUUCCCCCCGAACUCAUUACUCCUGCAAGGAGAUAGGAUUGCGAUUUUUCAGCUAGGCUUGAAUCACGUGCCCCCACCAAUGGAAACAGCAAUGGAGUUAAUGUCUCUUUAUGUCAGUUUCUUACCCUCAGCGAUAGCGACAUUUUGCACCAGAUAAUUCUUUGAUAUGAGGGGCAAUCCUGUGCAUUACAGGAUGUUUAGCAGCCUCCCUCGUCUCUGCCCACGAGUGGCCAGAAGCACCUCUAUCCCAAUUGUGACAACUGAAAAUGUCUCCAGACACUGGCAAAUGUCCUUGGGGUGGGGGCAAAAUAGGCCAGAAUGAGAACUCCUGCUCUAAGUAUGGAGACUCCAUGAGGCAGUGUGAAUACCUAAAUGAAACAGGGAGUAGUAACCAAAAGAAGCAAAGGCAACUGCAGUGUCUGUUCUAAUAUACAAGCAUCAUAUUUUAUAACAAAAUAGAUUUACAAAUUAUUUGGCUAUCUAUUAAGGGUAAUGUGUAUUCCUUAGGAACUAACAAUAAGCAAGUUACAGGUAAGUUAGAGAAUCAAAUUACAUAUAUAUAACAAAGGCACAAUGUAAAGUAUAGAACCGUAUAACACAUAAUAUGUGUGUACUAUCAUGUAUACUCCAUUAGAUCAAAUCUGUACAUAUUUUGUUUUCCUUGUAAGAUUAUUAAGAUCACUGUUGUGUAAUAUUAAUAACUGGACUCUGUUUCUGGCUUACGUUAGGAUAGAUGGUGGCAAAGAGAGCACCUGAAAAGUUUAGGGGAAUUGAAAGACCAUUUGGGGGAACUUACUUAUUUUGUAACAAGUGUAACAUUGCCAUUAAUCGUCAUAGCGGUGUUCUCCCAGGUACAACCACAGGUACCUGCCAUGGAAAAACAAGAUGAACUGUGGCGCGUUUUGGCUGAGGCCCUGAGAAGCCUGCCUACCCGCCCUCUCUCUGAUAUUAGACUCACUGGGGAAAGGUAAAGAAUGAAAUGUGGAUUGUCUUCUAAAGUACAGUUGCUGAGGCUUUUCAAGUUCAGUGGAGAUAUUAUUAGGAUCUAUCUAUUCCUUCCCUUUAAACUUUUGUCUUCUUAAUAAAAUUAUUACUC